UACGUAGGGUGCAAGCGUUGUCCGGAAUUAUUGGGCGUAAAGAGCUUGUAGGCGGUUUGUCGCGUCUGCUGUGAAAUUUCGGGGCUCAAACCCGAACUUGCAGUGGGUACGGGCAGACUAGAGUGUGGUAGGGGAGACUGGAAUUCCUGGUGUAGCGGUGAAAUGCGCAGAUAUCAGGAGGAACACCGAUGGCGAAGGCAGGUCUCUGGGCCACUACUGACGCUGAGAAGCGAAAGCAUGGGGAGCGAACAGG
rnacentral:rRNA from 1 species